rnacentral:rRNA from 1 species
CGCCCGUCGCUCCUACCGAUUGAGUGAUCCGGUGAACCUUCUGGACUGCGAUAGGACUUGAGCCUAGUGCGGGAAGUUAUGUAAACCUUAUCACUUAGAGGAAGGAGAAGUCGUAACAAGGUUUCC